GAUGAACGAUGGCGGCGUUCCUAAUACCUGCAAGUCGAGCGAAGCGGGGACGGGUGAGUAAAACGUGGAUAAACUCCUAUAAGACUGGAAUAAAGUCGGGAAACAGGAGCGAAACCGGAUAAUUAUAGAUGGAUCCGCGCUGCAUUAGCUAGUUGGUAAGGUAACGGCUUACCAAGGCAACGAGUCAUAGCCGACCUGAGAGGGUUAUAGGCGACACAUGAAGUGAGACACGGUCCAGAAUCACACGGUGGGCAGGAGUAGUGAAACGUCCGCAAUGGGCGAAAUCCUGACGGAGCAACGCCGCGUGAGUGAUGAAGGUGUUCGGAUAGGAAAACUCUGUUAUUAGGGAAGCGGUACCUAAUCAGAAAGCCACGGCUACUACGGGCAAGCAGCCGCGGUAAUUC
rnacentral:rRNA from 1 species